UUCCAGAGAGUUCCAGUACUCUGUGUCUCUAAGACUAACGCAACGCCUAAACCUAAUUCCUAAAUAAUCAAAAAGAGUAAAGACAGAAUCACAGAAACCCGUCACUAACGCCUAAGGCCCUAAACCAGCAGCCACCAGUCCUCGUCGACUUUCACCAGCCACCUCGCCCCGUCUCGCCUCUCCCUCUUGCCACAGUCAGCAGAUGGUAAGUUUCUUUUCUUGUUGAGUGUGAUUUUACUUGCAAAAGUUUCCACAAGCAAGCAAAAAGAUAGUCGAAUUCAGAAAAGGUCCUUCCUGUUUAUUUGAAAAGGUCCUACUUUUUUUUUACACUCGCAAUACUGAACUAGCAAUGGAUUUGUUUCCACAAAAGGUAAGUUUCAAUGAUCGAUCGAAUUCAGUGUUUUAACUUGUUCCCGAAUUUGAUUUGUCUUAGGUGCUUGGUAUUCGUUAUUAAUUUGUUGCCAAACGAUUUGUUGGUUUACAGAAAUUUUGGAUAUCUGAGUAUUGAUUAGUUGAUUUUAGAUUCAGUUUGACACAUUUGUUCGAUUAUUUCAUGGGGUUUCUGUUCCAAAAGUUGUUGAAAUAAGAAGUGCCAUUGAUUGUUUCACGAAAUGAAAGAAGAGGAGAUCUUUCUGACAACAUGGGAUGCUUUGCGGUCCAUUACAACUUGAUUCUUUGAUAGUAAGGAUUAACACAGAAUUUGCCUUUGUUUUAAGUUGCUUUGAGUUAUUUCAGUGUAUUUGAUUAAAAAUGUUUUUGCCUUUUGGAGUGGCUUUUUCUUUGUAUUUAUUAUCAAUGCUGAUUAGUGAUUAUCCUUGCUUGUUUACGUAUACUGGUUGCAGGUGAGACUGUGAAGUGAGACUGCGACUUUAAUUGCUGCAGUACAUAUGAGUACAGAAAUUGGACACUUCUUUUGACAAUUUCGCGUUUCAUUUCGGGUUUAUUGGUUGUUUUCUACCCAGGCUCCCUAAGUUUAUUUGGCCAGAAAAGCUUCAGUUAUAGUUGAUGCUGAAAUUUGGUUACGAAAGACUUCAUUAUAUGUCCUAAAUGUGUCAUUGACUGAAAUGUUUGUUUUGUUAUCAGUAAGGACGUUGUAAUAUGCUAUAUGCAUCAUUGAUACUGAAACUUCUGUUUGGUUAUCAUUUAAUUGAAGUACCAUAUUUUGAUCCUCUAGCAUGUCAUAUCUCCAGUGUUUUCUCCUUCAUAUUUUUAGUUGAGUUAUCUAUCUUGCUCAUAAAGUAGUAAAAUAGUUUGUAUAUUUAGGGAAUGCAGAGUUAUGUCAACACGGCUGAUAAACCAACAACUGGUAUUGGAUUCAUGUGAAAGUUCAAAGGCUUAAGGAGCAAUUUGGUCUUGUUGAGAAAUGAGCAGCAGCCUUUUCAUCUCAAAUGAUGUGUUCUGCUUUUUUAACAGACAUGUAUGUCCGGUGUAAUUUCGUUUUCUGAAUUUGUAUGCUAGGCCGAUAAACUGCCCGAUAAGAACUAAACCGAUACCAAUCCGCCCGAUAUCUUAUUGGAUGGCUAGUGGAUUAAUACAUUU
rnacentral:lncRNA from 1 species